AGAGGCAGACGGUGUACAUCUUUACGAAUAACCACGACGGAGAUAUGAGCAAUACAAAGGGAUGUUUUUUGGGUACCUGGCAAGUUAAAUCCAAACAAAUUGAUGAAAAUAAUAAAAGGUCAUUGAAAAAUUGACUUGUGGCAAUGAGUUAUAGUGUUCAUGUUCUAAGCAAAGGGGGUUUUGGUGUGAAUGUUUCCUAACAAUGAGGUGGAAUAAUACUUGGUAGAAAAGUAUAAAUUUUACUUGCUUUCUUAUGUCUAGCUCAGUUGGAUGGAUAGUUGUGUGCAUGCCAUAUAAGUUUUUGACAGAACAAUAGUUUAAAAGACCCAUAAUUCACAGGUCUGGAUUCCGAUACAUUGAUACCAUAAAAUUGUGAUACUUCUGAGUUUAUUAAAUUUCCCAUUAGGUGAAAGAAGUUGCAUAUCAUCGUCCCUGAGUUUAUUAAAUUUCCCAUUAGGUGAUAGAAGUUGCAUAUCAUUCUUGACCCCC
rnacentral:lncRNA from 1 species